UAUGGACGAGAGUCUGAACCAGCCAGUAGCGUGCAGGAUGACGGCCCUAUGGGUUGUAAACUGCUUUUAUAAGGGAAUAAAGUGAGUCUCGUGAGACUUUUUGCAUGUACCUUAUGAAUAAGGACCGGCUAAUUCCGUGCCAGCAGCCGCGGUAAUACGGAAGGUCCGGGCGUUAUCCGGAUUUAUUGGGUUUAAAGGGAGCGUAGGCCGGAGAUUAAGCGUGUUGUGAAAUGUAGAUGCUCAACAUCUGAACUGCAGCGCGAACUGGUUUCCUUGAGUACGCACAAAGUGGGCGGAAUUCGUGGUGUAGCGGUGAAAUGCUUAGAUAUCACGAAGAACUCCGAUUGCGAAGGCAGCUCACUGGAGCGCAACUGACGCUGAAGCUCGAAAGUGCGGGUAUCGAACAGGAUUAGAUACCCUGGUAGUCCAAGGGCGAAUUC
rnacentral:rRNA from 1 species